AGACUGACCACUAGCCGACGCGGGCGAGAGGGACAGGAGCGUGACCUCCCCAUCCCGAGGGGCCGGACGCUCGGGCGCCUCCCCGCUCCCCCCACUCGGAGGCCGCGCGCGCCGUUAGCCCCUUCCUCGCUCCCCCGCCCCAGUCCCGCAGUCCGGGAGGCGGGGGUCGGCAGCCGGCUGAGUGGGAACCGCGCGGUGUCUGAGGAGGCAGUCGGCGACCGGUUUCCACUUCAAGCGUGACCCUUUUGCCUGUGGGAUGAGCUCCAGCAUGGGGUGAGGUACAGAAGAGAGACUUGAAGAGCGUGCCUUGGGACUCAAGCGCCAAACCUGUACCCUAGCGAGUGUCCUACUCCGCAUCCGUAAUGGAAGGAAAUGCACAUCUUACUCCAGAGGCACAAGAGGAGGACAUCCCAUGCGGCUACUCCUGCCCAGCGUGGUGGGGCAGCAGAAGCUCCAGAGCCCAGACUUGCAGUGCCCUUUCCAGGCCUUAAGAGAAGUAAAACUUAGCUGCAGCGUCAGGAGGUGGACCCCAGAGUGUGAGUGGCACGCUUCCCUGUGAACCCGUCCUCACCAUGUUUGCCAC
rnacentral:lncRNA from 10 species